rnacentral:rRNA from 1 species
UAGUAACGGCGAGUGAAGAGGGAAAAGCUCAAAUUUUGAAUCUGGCGCCUUUGGCUCCCGAGUUGUAAUCUAGAGAAGUGUUUUCCGCAUCGGACCGUGUAAAAGUUCCCUGGAACGGGACGUCAUAGAGGGUGAGAAUCCCGUACAUGCCACGGACUGCCGUUGCUCUGUGAUACACUCUCAACGAGUCGAGUUGUUUGGGAAUGCAGCUCAAAAUGGGUGGUAAAUUCCAUCUAAAGCUAAAUAUUGGCGAGAGACCGAUAGCGAACAAGUACCGUGAGGGAAAGAUGAAAAGCACUUUGGAAAGAGAGUGAAACAGUACGUGAAAUUGUUGAAAGGGAAGCGUUUGGAGUCAGUCGCGUCUGGUGGGAUUCAGCCUUGCUUCUUCUUGGUGUUAUUCCUGUCUGACGGGUCAGUGUCGAUUUCGAUUGAGGGAGAAAGGCUUGGGGAAUGUGGCUGUCUUCGGGCAGUGUUAUAGCCCCUUGUUGUAUGUCUCAGUUGGGAUCGAGGAAUGCAGCACGCCUUUUGGCCGGGGUUCGCGCCCUCGGUACGUGCUUAGGA